rnacentral:rRNA from 1 species
GACAGAGGUGCCGAGCGUUAGGCGGAAUCACUGGGCUUAAAGCGUGUGUAGGCGGGUCGUUAAGUGUCUUGUGAAAUCCCACCGCUCACCGGUGGAACGGCUGGGCAUACUGGCGACCUUGAGAGGCCUAGGGGCAGACGGAACAAGCGGUGGAGCGGUGAAAUGCGUAGAUAUCGCUUGGAACGCCGACGGCGAAAGCAGUCUGCUGGGGGCCUUCUGACGCUGAGACACGAAAGCCAGGGGAGCAAACGGG